GGCACAGUGCAGGGAGGAAAGCGAGGGCGAUCCGCAGCCGGGCCUCCCCUCCCGCCCACCCCCAGCCGCGGGCGCUCCCGGCUCGGCCCUCAGCCGAGGCAGCCGGCGUGUGCCUAGGGCAGCGGGUCACCAGGCUCCGCCCCCGGCCGCCCGGCCCGGGGGACGGCACUUUGUUCAGGAUGCCGCCUCCUUCUCGUAGUGGAGCGGGAGCCCGCGGCCGCCCUAGUGAGAGGCUGAAGGCCGGAGCGCGCAGCGCCGGCUGAGACUCGCGCGGGGAGCCGGCUGGGCCCCGGGAAACCCGGGAAACUUUCUGAUCGCGAGGACAGGACGCCCUGCGUUGCGCUGCUCGGGCGAUGCGCGAUUCUGCGCGGCGGCGGCGCGGACCCACAACCCGGGACCUGAAGCGCUCCGAGCCGUUACUCAUAAGCCUCCAUCAUGCCUGUCCUCUCUGCAGCCUGUGAGGAGGAAGGGAGAGGCUCCCACAGCUAGCUAGCAGUUGAGCCACAUGAUUGCUGUGCUCUGCUGCUGACCCUGGCUGCCCGUUGCCAAGACAACAAAGCCCUCUCAUUUCCUGUGCUCUGCUGAAUCUCAGCACCCAUUUCCGCAGCGUCCACAUCCACCCAGAGCCUUUGAGGUCGUCAGGGAAAUGGACAGUUCUACUUGGCUGUCCUUCAACCAAGAUACCAUCGCAAGACCCACUGAAGCAGCCAGUAGCAGUUUCUGAGCUAUGCAGGGGCAGACACAGGAUCCUAGUGCCGCCCUACCUCUGCUGCUGACCAUGAGUGGGAUGGCCAACGUGAAUUCUGCCAGCCGCCCACACUAUGCUUCCUCUAUCCCCGUGCCUCGAGCCUCCUCCCAGACCAGGAUUCACACCCCAGGCGCAUCUCCCCAGCUGCGGCCUCGCCAACAGGCUGACCUGGCCCUGAGUCCCCAGCGAGGAGCCUCCCCAAGACGGGGCAAGGCUGCAGUCUCUUCUAGAAACUCAUCCCCCAAGGCUUACAGGGGAAGAGGAACCCCCAGGGCUGCCGGGCCAGCCAGAGAACUGGCUGGGAGUGUAGAAAGCCUUCCCAGCUCCCCCUGGAACAGCCCCAGGGUAACCCCCAAAACAGCCCUCUCCAGUCAGGCAGGAUCCAGAAGAGCUGGGGAGACACAAAGCACCCAGAGGAAGAAGACCCAGGAAGGAAUUCCAGUUCGACACACCAGAGGAAGGAGCCCACCCCAGUCAAGCUGUUAUGGAGAAACACAAAUUCCAGGGCCUCCUGAAGGUCGGAUGCCUCCUGGCUGCCAGGGAAAAGAUCAAAGAAACAUCAUCUCCAAACCCCCUAGGUGUCUGGAGCCGGAUGAAGGGGAAGCUUCGGGGACUUCCUCUCCAGUGUGCAGCCCCGUGCAGAGCAUGCGGUCCUCAGCUACUCCUGGAGUCAUUAGCUUUUCCUCAGCCCAUCCGCAGAGUCAACCAAUCACAGCCACAGUAGCCCCCUUCCAGUACAGAUUACAGACAGACCAGGAACCUGGUCCUGUGCCUCAGGAAAGCUGGGUCCUUGAUGGAUACACCAGCCCCCCUAGCAGGACUGAGGACAGCUUUUCCUGCAUGGACGCGCGGAUCGUCCAUGCGCUCCUCGCAGGCAGAAUGCUGGGCAGCAGCGUCAAGAGCGUGCAGCCCGAGGUGGAGCUGAGCGGCGGCAGCGGCAGCGGCGGCGACGAGGGCGCGGACGAGUCUCGGGGAGCCAGCAGAAAGGCAGCCGCGGCGGACGGCAGAGGCAUGCUGCCCAAGCGCGCCAAGGCGGCAGGAGGCAGUGGCAGUAUGGCCAAGGCCAGUGCAGCGGAGCUGAAGGUCUUCAAGUCCGGCAGCGUGGACAGUCGUGUCCCCGGCGGGCUGCCUACCUCCAACCUGCGCAAACAGAAGUCGCUCACCAACCUCUCGUUUCUCACGGACUCCGAGAAAAAGCUGCAGCUGUAUGAGCCUGAGUGGAGUGAUGAUAUGGCCAAAGCACCCAAGGGUUUGGGCAAACUGGGGCCCAAGGGCCGCGAGACUCCUCUGAUGUCCAAGACGCUGUCCAAGUCUGAGCAUUCGCUCUUCCAACCCAAAGGUGGCUCAACCGGCGGCGCCAAGACCCCACUGGCUCCGCUAGCGCCCAGCCUAGGCAAACCUAGCCGGAUUCCUCGGGGACCCUAUGCGGAGGUCAAGCCUCUCAGCAAGGCGCCUGAGGCAGCGGUAAGCGAUGAUGGCAAAUCGGAUGACGAACUGCUUUCCAGCAAGGCUAAAGCGCAAAAGGGCUCAGGGACUGUGCCCUCUGCCAAGGGCCAGGAGGAGCGGGCCUUCCUCAAGGUGGACCCCGAGCUUGUGGUUACCGUGCUGGGCGACCUAGAACAGCUACUCUUCAGCCAGAUGCUAGAUCCAGAGUCGCAGAGAAAGAGAACAGUACAGAACGUUCUGGAUCUCCGACAGAACCUGGAAGAAACCAUGUCCAGCCUGCGAGGCUCCCAGGUGACUCACAGCUCCCUGGAGAUGCCUUGUUACGACAGCGAUGACGCCAACCCCCGAAGCGUGUCCAGUCUCUCCAACCGCUCCUCUCCGCUCUCUUGGCGCUACGGCCAGUCUAGUCCCCGGCUGCAGGCUGGCGACGCACCCUCUGUUGGGGGGAGCUGUCGUUCCGAGGGGCCACCGGCCUGGUACAUGCAUGGCGAGCGGGCACACUACUCCCACACCAUGCCGAUGCGGAGCCCCAGCAAACUCAGCCACAUCUCUCGCCUGGAGUUGGUGGAGUCCCUGGACUCUGACGAGGUGGACCUCAAAUCCGGCUACAUGAGUGACAGUGACCUCAUGGGCAAGACCAUGACAGAAGACGAUGACAUCACAACGGGCUGGGAUGAAAGCAGCUCCAUUAGCAGUGGGCUCAGCGAUGCCUCCGACAACCUCAGCUCAGAAGAGUUCAAUGCCAGCUCCUCACUCAACUCCCUCCCAACCACUCCCACUGCCUCCCGCAGGAGCUCCACUAUAGUGUUACGCACAGACUCGGAGAAGCGCUCCCUGGCGGAGAGUGGGCUCAACUGGUUCAGUGAGUCAGAGGAGAAGACCCCUAAAAAACUGGAGUACGACAGUGGUAGCCUGAAGAUGGAACCUGGGACUUCAAAGUGGCGGAGAGAGAGACCAGAGAGCUGCGAUGACGCAUCCAAGGGCGGAGAACUGAAAAAGCCCAUCAGCCUGGGACACCCAGGGUCCUUGAAAAAGGGCAAGACCCCUCCGGUGGCUGUCACCUCUCCCAUCACUCACACCGCCCAGAGUGCCCUCAAAGUCGCAGGCAAACCUGAAGGCAAAGCUACAGACAAGGGUAAACUCGCAGUGAAGAACACUGGGCUACAACGCUCCUCUUCUGAUGCUGGCCGGGACCGCCUGAGUGAUGCUAAGAAGCCCCCCUCAGGCAUUGCUCGGCCCUCUACUUCAGGAUCCUUUGGUUAUAAGAAGCCUCCCCCUGCUACUGGCACAGCCACUGUCAUGCAGACCGGUAGCUCAGCCACCCUCAGCAAGAUCCAGAAGUCCUCAGGGAUCCCUGUGAAGCCAGUAAACGGGCGCAAGACGAGUUUAGACGUGUCCAACAGUGUAGAGCCCGGAUUUCUCGCCCCUGGAGCACGGUCCAACAUCCAGUAUCGCAGCCUACCCAGGCCAGCCAAGUCCAGUUCUAUGAGUGUGACUGGGCGUGGUGGACCUCGGCCUGUUAGCAGCAGCAUUGACCCCAGCCUCCUCAGCACCAAGCAGGGUGGCCUUACACCCUCCAGACUGAAGGAACCUUCCAAGGUCGCCAGUGGUCGGAGCACUCCAGCCCCUGUCAAUCAGACAGAUCGGGAAAAGGAGAAGGCCAAAGCCAAGGCUGUGGCCCUGGACUCAGACAACAUCUCCUUGAAGAGCAUAGGCUCCCCAGAAAGCACUCCCAAGAACCAAGCAAGCCACCCUCCAGCCACCAAGUUAGCAGAGCUGCCACCAACCCCUCUCAGGGCCACAGCUAAAAGCUUUGUCAAGCCACCCUCGCUAGCCAAUCUAGACAAAGUCAACUCCAACAGUUUGGAUCUACCAUCUUCCAGCGACACCCAUGCUUCCAAGGUCCCAGAUCUGCAUGCUCCGAGCUCAUCAACUGGGGGCCCUCUCCCUUCUUGCUUCACUCCCAGCCCAGCACCCAUCCUCAAUAUUAACUCAGCCAGCUUCUCCCAGGGCCUGGAGCUAAUGAGUGGUUUCAGUGUCCCAAAGGAGACCCGCAUGUACCCCAAACUCUCAGGCCUGCACAGGAGCAUGGAGUCCCUCCAGAUGCCAAUGAGCCUGCCCAGUGCCUUCCCCAGCAGCGCCCCCAUCCCUACCCCACCUACUGCCCCAUCAGAGGAAGACACAGAAGAGCUGCCCUGGAGUGGAAGCCCCAGGGCUGGACAAUUGGACAGCAGUCAGCGAGAUCGGAAUACCCUCCCCAAGAAAGGGCUCAGGUACCAGCUUCAGUCCCAGGAGGAGACCAAGGAGAGGCGGCACUCCCACACUGCCGGUGGGCUUCCAGAAUCCGACGACCAGGCAGAGCUGCCAUCCCCCCCUGCUCUCUCCAUGUCCUUGAGUGCAAAGGGCCAGCUUACCAACAUAGUGAGUCCCACUGCGGCCACCACGCCAAGAAUCACCCGAUCCAACAGCAUCCCCACCCACGAGGCGGCCUUCGAGCUGUACAGCGGCUCCCAAAUGGGGAGCACCCUGUCCCUGGCCGAGAGACCCAAGGGAAUGAUUCGGUCAGGAUCCUUCCGAGACCCCACGGAUGAUGUUCAUGGCUCGGUGCUGUCUCUGGCCUCCAGUGCUUCUUCUACCUACUCCUCAGCUGAGGAGAGGAUGCAAUCUGAGCAAAUUCGGAAGCUUCGUAGGGAGCUGGAGUCGUCCCAGGAAAAGGUGGCCACCCUGACAUCUCAGCUGUCUGCCAACGCUAACCUAGUGGCCGCUUUCGAGCAGAGCCUGGUGAAUAUGACAUCCCGCCUGCGACACCUGGCAGAGACGGCCGAGGAGAAGGACACCGAGCUGUUGGAUUUGCGAGAAACUAUAGACUUCCUGAAGAAAAAGAAUUCCGAGGCCCAGGCAGUCAUCCAGGGAGCGUUAAAUGCCUCAGAAGCCACGCCCAAAGAACUCCGGAUCAAGAGGCAGAAUUCCUCAGAUAGCAUCUCCAGCCUCAACAGCAUCACCAGCCAUUCCAGCAUCGGCAGCAGCAAAGAUGCUGAUGCCAAGAAGAAAAAGAAGAAGAGUUGGCUUCGGAGUUCCUUCAACAAAGCCUUCAGUAUUAAAAAGGGUCCCAAGUCAGCCUCCUCCUACUCUGACAUUGAAGAGAUUGCCACACCUGACUCCUCAGCCCCAUCAUCCCCCAAACUCCAACACGGCUCCACUGAGACUGCCUCCCCCUCCAUCAAGUCCUCCACCUCAUCCUCUGUGGGCACCGAGGUCACCGAGACCCCUGCUCAUUCAGUCCCCCACACUAGACUGUUCCAAGCCAAUGAAGAGGAGGAGCCAGAGAAGAAGGAGGUAUCAGAACUGCGCUCUGAACUAUGGGAAAAAGAGAUGAAGCUCACGGAUAUCCGGUUGGAGGCCCUCAACUCUGCCCACCAGCUGGACCAGCUUCGGGAGACCAUGCACAAUAUGCAGUUGGAGGUGGACCUGCUGAAAGCAGAGAAUGACCGGCUGAAGGUUGCCCCCGGCCCCUCCUCAGGCUGCACUCCAGGGCAGGUCCCUGGGUCAUCGGCUCUGUCGUCCCCUCGACGUUCCCUGGGCCUUGCACUCAGCCAUCCUUUCAGUCCUAGUCUCACAGACACAGACCUCUCACCCAUGGAUGGCAUCAGCACCUGUGGUUCAAAGGAAGAGGUGACCCUGCGGGUGGUGGUCCGGAUGCCGCCCCAGCACAUCAUCAAAGGGGUAAGGGGCUUUAGGGAGGGCCAGUGUAGGAACCAGCCUGAUGUAGACGGCCCCACAUUACACUGGUUUAAAAUCAAUGUGUGUUUAGUAGAGAGUGUACUCACAUUUUGAGUUUCAGUCUGUUCCUGGUAUGUAGUAUGAAACAUUCAAGAUCCUGGAUGAGGACAGUGAGCCACAGCUCCCAGCCAGUCACACAACCAUGGGAGUAAACAGACUUAAAGCAGCAGGAGUUCUUCCUGGGUUGCAGCAAGGUCAGUGGCAAAGUUGACUGGAAGAUGCUGGAUGAAGCCGUUUUCCAAGUGUUCAAGGACUACAUUUCUAAAAUGGACCCAGCCUCAACCCUGGGACUGAGCACUGAGUCCAUACAUGGCUAUAGCCUCAGCCACGUGAAACGAGUGCUGGAUGCUGAGCCCCCAGAGAUGCCUCCUUGCCGCCGAGGUGUCAAUAACAUAUCAGUCGCUCUCAAAGGUCUGAAAGAGAAGUGUGUCGACAGCCUGGUGUUCGAGACGCUUAUCCCCAAGCCCAUGAUGCAGCACUACAUCAGCCUCCUGCUCAAGCACCGGCGCCUGGUGCUCUCCGGCCCCAGUGGCACCGGCAAGACCUACUUGACCAAUCGGCUAGCCGAGUACCUGGUGGAGCGCUCCGGCCGCGAGGUCACGGAUGGCAUCGUCAGCACUUUCAACAUGCACCAGCAGUCUUGCAAGGAUCUGCAACUGUACCUCUCCAACCUAGCCAACCAGAUAGACCGGGAAACAGGGAUAGGGGAUGUGCCCUUGGUGAUCCUCCUGGAUGAUCUGAGUGAAGCAGGCUCCAUCAGUGAGCUGGUCAAUGGGGCCCUCACCUGCAAGUAUCACAAAUGUCCCUACAUUAUAGGUACCACCAAUCAGCCUGUAAAAAUGACACCCAACCAUGGCUUGCACUUGAGCUUCAGGAUGCUGACCUUCUCGAACAAUGUGGAACCAGCCAAUGGCUUUCUGGUCCGUUACCUGCGGAGGAAGUUGGUAGAGUCAGACAGUGACGUCAAUGCUAACAAGGAAGAGCUGCUUCGGGUGCUGGACUGGGUGCCCAAGCUGUGGUAUCACCUCCACACCUUCCUGGAGAAGCACAGCACCUCGGACUUCCUCAUUGGCCCUUGCUUCUUCCUGUCCUGUCCCAUUGGCAUCGAGGACUUCCGGACCUGGUUCAUUGACCUGUGGAACAAUUCCAUCAUCCCCUAUCUACAGGAAGGAGCCAAGGAUGGGAUCAAGGUUCAUGGACAGAAAGCUGCUUGGGAAGACCCGGUGGAAUGGGUCCGAGACACUCUUCCCUGGCCGUCGGCCCAACAAGACCAAUCAAAGCUCUACCACCUGCCCCCGCCUUCUGUGGGCCCCCACAGCACUGCCUCACCCCCGGAGGACAGGACAGUCAAAGACAGCACUCCAAACUCCCUCGACUCAGAUCCCCUGAUGGCCAUGCUACUGAAACUCCAAGAAGCUGCCAACUACAUUGAGUCACCAGAUCGAGAGACUAUCCUGGACCCCAACCUCCAGGCGACACUCUGAGGGCCCGGCAGUCACUGUCACCCUGGAGGGCAGAAGGCUGGCUUCAGCAUCAUUAGCUCUCCUCUGCCCUCUUCCUUCAUAGCUCUGGCUCACCAGCCUCGCCAAGAGAACAGGAGGGAAGAAGAGGGCAGGAGGAGGGAUGGGUUCUCGGUGCUGAACCUUUGAGAACUUCCUACUAGGAAUUGGAGGGGGUGGAGUUUGAGAACUCCGUGCCCCUUAACUACAUUUGCUGGCCUCCUCUUACGACUUAGGAGAAAAGAUGAUUCUGGUCUUUUCUUCAAGUUUUGUUUCACCUACAAACUCUUGGGCUUUCUGGGGAGGGAUUCGGAAGAUAUAAACAGACAAACAAAAACAAACAAACCAACUACAGCAGUUCCAAGCUCGUUCUCACAAACACCUCUGAGACAGUCACAUGUGGGCAAAUCUAAGGGAGGCAGGAAGCUCUACAGACUUUCUUGCAAACCCUUCCCAGUUCUGUCGACACUGCCAACAACCUCCCCGCCAGAGACCUGGCCAGAGCCAAGAAAAGAGAAGCAUGUGGUUUAACAGAAAAACAAAACAAAACAAAACAAAAAAUAUAUGUGUAAAUCAACCUGUAGAAGGUAAAAACGGCAAUGGAAAAGAUGAAGCUGGAAGGAGGGGCCCAGUUGCCAAGAUGGAACGAGAGCUGCCAGAUCUUGCCUUCUGGAUGACAAGAGGGGACAUUGCAAGAUGGCUGCCAGUCUAAAACGUCACCAGACCACAAGAGUAACAUCACAGCCUUCGAAGAAAGGCCACAAGCUGUCUUUCUGCCCUCUAACUGAACAUGCAUGAAAAGUCAAUAAACCCUACUUUUUAAUUUUUAAAUUUUUAUUUCUAUUUUUUCCUUCCAUUUGCCUAUUUAUUUGUCCCUCACCUCCAGUUUCCUCACAUCAAUAAGAUACUUGGGUUUCCUUCCAGGGGAUAGUUUUGCUUUCCAAGUGGGUUUUCUUUGGAGAAUUUAAUUCUAUAAUAUUGGUACAAGUUAGACACCUCCCAUGCCACUGUCCCUGGCAUCCUUGGGGCUUACAUGGGACAAGAAACAUUGGCUCAUAAUAGUAAGAGAAGAAGAACUCAGUCUCUUUGGUUCCUUUUGAGAAAGCACAUGUUCUACCUGGAAGCUCAACUGCCGUCCUCCAGCAUGGUAGAUCUACCCCGAGCUUCAUCUCGGACUGGGAGGAAAACCAAAAUACUGGAAACACCUGCCUGUCUUAUGGCCUGUUAGGGCCCUCACUGCACUAUUUGGAUGGUAGCCACUUUGCCUGACUGAAUCAAGAUUCCCUAGCUAGCCCUUAUUAUUUGUUUUUGACAGAUGAAUAGUCACUUAUAGGAGAUGGAGCAACCGUGUGACCUGCUUCAGAUCAGAAUAAAAGGCUCAAAGAGUUUGACUUGGUGGCCAAUAUCUGCCUUCCAAAGAGAUCUACGUCUUGCAGAAGUUGCCCUCUUCCUAACCCACACUCCUUCAUUUGACAAGUACUUACUGAGUAUUUAACCGAGUACCAGUCACUACGUUUUUAAAAAAGACAAGACUUGGUCCUUAAGUUCAAGGUCUAGGAGGCAAUGUUAAUCUCCUUUAAGUAACCAUCCCUUUAUUAUCUGGACCUUGAAAAUCAUCUGAGAGAUGCAGGUGAAGGCCAAGGAGUCAAUUAAAAGAAGCCUUUGGUUAGAUCUCCAAUAUGUUGUAGGCAGAAGGUUGGGGAUCAGUUUAAAUGAAGCCUGAAGAACUGUGGAAUCUUGCUUGUCUUGAGUGGGAAAAUCUACUUCUGUCAUUUCUGGAAACCAGUGGAACCAAAUUCCAGGUUGAGCUGCCUCAUGGGCUAAUGUGUUAGCGCUCUGCAGUGCAGGGAUAUAUACUAUACGUCUGGACCUGAGAAUACGCUCUUCAGGUUCCUUAGUAGCACACGACGUACCAGAAUCUAUACCAAGAUUCUUUAGGCAAACUAACCUGGGCCAUUGUUCCACCCAACCAAGGAAUUACGUGCCCCUGACUCUUAAUAGUCUAUUUUCAUUUAGAUCCUCAAGAAGGUCUAGCUUGUCCCUUUUGUACCCAUCCACCCCCGGCAAAAGCUUCUAUAUUCACCUGGUAGCCCCAGGGAUGACAGGGUCCUCUAUUCUGGAGACUGUUAUUGCUACUGCUGCUAAUUCCACGAGCUGUGAAGAUCCCCAACUCAGCUGCAAAAUAUGCAAUUCUGUGGUGGGAAGAGGCUGACUGUCCGAGGAUGGUGCUGAAAUCACUGCCUUAAGGUCUUUGCUGUGCAGAAUGAGAAGGCCCCCCCAGAGCUGGGUGUUCCAACUUAGAAGGAAGGGAAGACUGGAUAGGCCUACUUUGGACAUAGGUCUCUUCUGAACCCUAUCCAAAGCUCCAGUACAUGGCAAGGCUCAGACUUUUGCUAACAUCCUAACGCUUGAGCCUUUCACCCUCUUUUUCUGGUGCUGCCCAGCCAGUGCCUUCUGACACGGAUGUUACUGGCUACUUAAGAAGAAGGAAAGUAGGAAAUGCCUUCUUCCAUUCCAACUGCCUCAGACUACAGAGAGAGUGUCUCUGUGGUAACUAUGGAUACCAUCGAGAAUUUUAUUUGGGUCUGCAGCAAGUUGAUUCUGGAGGCCUCGCAUACUUUGACUUCAUUUCUAUUCCUGGGAUCCACCACCCUCUUCUCUCAGUUGACUGCUGCAUUUAGUUCAGGCCUCAAAUAGCUGUCCUCCAGGAAGUGCGUUCCCAUCUAGUGAAGUGCUCUCGAAGCCUACACUUUCCUUCUGGAGCCUGGGACCCUGUUUACAGUUGCACAUCUGGGCCCCUCACAGUAGGAUCAACCAUCUCAAAAAAAAAAGAAAAAAAAAAGGGAUCAUGGUUCGGUGGCAAUUUCGGAAGGUUGAGCCUCCUCAUGGUGCUAUAACCCCUCGGGAUGCUCAUCCAGACUUCUAAGAAGCAAAAAGCCUGAGCUCCUCCUCACUGCCUAAGAAUCCAUGGCAAAGAGCAAAGCCGCAGCAGUCCUCCCAACCUACACACUUCUUGGUUGAGACUCCUAGGACUCCUCAGAAAGGAAAAACUGGGUCCCACAAUCUCCAGGCACCUUCAGAAGAAUGCAAUCUAUCUUAAUUCUGCAACUUUUGCUAUUCCCUUUCCUUCCAACUCCUGAUUCCAUCCCUCACCAAAGUUGGCUGGUGAAGAACAACAACCUUUGGAGGGCCUCAGCUCCAGGAGAGGCUCGCCAGAGUCCCUUGCACUUGGGGAUGAAGACCAAUAAGUUGUGUUCAAUGUGUUUGUUUCUCAGUCCCUGCCUAAGCACUAAAAUAAAAUACUCUAGGUAUUGGAGGCUGCUAAGGGACCUGAUGUCUGUGCAUUUUUCUGUCUCUGUCCUUCUCUCUUACACACGAGCAGUUUGUUGUUAUCUUCUGGGGCUCUGUGGAACAUUAUUUUUGAUACCUGCUUUCUGGUAACUCGUUGGUGCUUGUUUCUGUCUCUGUAAAUCCUUAUUCCAGUGUCUUUCAUGUAGUCUAAUCAUUUGGAAGGUAGAGGCUGGCAAGGAAGGAGAAGGGGGUAAAAGAUCAUGGAGAGAGCCCACAAGAAAACUUUCUUGGUUGGUAAACAUUUGGGUCUUGAGUUACCAACCUUCUAAUCUGUCUAUUCUGAUGGACAUAAGACAAAAUAAUGAUUUUUUUCCUCCCCUUUUCAUUUUGUGCCGUGUGGUUUUUCUAGUUUACAAGAGUCGAUGUGGACUUCAUGUACCCAUCUCCUUCCUGAUGGCUCUCAAAGAUGAGUCAUGCUAUUCACAGGAGUGCCACCCCCUUCCAGGACUCUGAGGAUGAACUCUUGUUUCCUGUCCUAUUCCAGAAAAGUAGUUAGGCUCUCACACCACCUUCCAUCACCCCAGAUGGAACCCAUUCCCAGCAGCCAGCCUGGGCACAGAGGACACAUGCCUGAUGAGGUGAUCCAAAUGACAUUAAUGAUCUUUUUUAUGGCAUAGGGGUUUGGGAGAGGAAGUUGUGCUGAUCACAAAUCUAAUCCAGGGUUCCAGAGUUAAAGUGACUCAGAUGGUUAAUCAAAGACCCUUCUCAUUCUGUAGCCUUCCUUCCCAUAGUCCUGUGCACUAGCUAAAUCGAAGCUGGUAAACUGGCUCCGUGAGCCAACAGCCCCCGUGGUAAGAACUGAAAUGGCUGUAACAACAGGUUGGCUAAUAGAGAUGGAUAGGAUGGAUGCACCAACAGCUGUUGGUACCUUGUUUUUCCUUCAACUGUUGGGUAUUGACUCUAGGGUUUCUCAUAACACUCAGCAAGUACCCACCACUGAGCUUUCUCUCUAGCCUUUAUACUAAGUUGUCCAUAAUGGCUCUGAAUUCAGUAAAUAUUCCAAGCAAGCUUUGAAUUUGAUGAUCACACACACACACACCUCUCAAGUAAUUGGCAUUUCAGCCUGCAUCACUGGGCUCAGCUAUAAUACACUCUGUAGUAAGAACUAUACAUGACAGUUCCCAACAAGGAGGCCCAAAAAUGUGUUACAAAUGGCCAAAGCCUGAAGACGUUGUUCUUCAUCACUGAAUCAGCCUUAUCAAUCUUCAACCUGCUCAGGGAUAACUGGGCCACCAGCUUGGCUCUCCCCACUGCCCAGGAUACACUGGUAUACACUCUAGCCCUGGAAGCACGUGCUGUUCUAGGGAAGAUAGACUAAACUGGAAAGCAGCAGAGUUCAGAAGGAAAAGGAGCAGUUGAACUUUGGAAACCGCAGGGAGAAAACGACAUUUAAAAGGUUUACCUACAGCCUGGCAUGGUGGUACAUGCCUUUAAUCUCAGCACUUGGGAGGCAGAGGCAGGUGGAUUUCUGAGUUUGAGACCACCCUGGUCUACAGAGUGAGUUCCAGGACAGCCAGAGCUAUACAGAGAAACCCUGUCUCGAAAAACAAAAACAAAACAAACCAAAAACCAAAAAAAAAAAAAAAAAAAAAAAAAAAAGAGGUUCACCUAUUUAUGCUAGUCCAUUCCGGUUUAACAUUCUGGCUGUUUUCCUUAAUGAUUAUGUCACAGGGAACAUUCUCCAACGUGAUCCUAGAAGGGGAACCUCUGGUUCUUGAUUCAGCCUUUCAAUCCAUACAGUGGUGGCACUAGAUGGAUGUUUUCAGACAAGCAACAGCAGAAUGUAGGAAUAAAUGCGUUAGGGAUAAAUUUCCCAGGCUCUAAUCCAGAUUUACCAAGUCAAACCUUUAUGGCGGUGUCCGGCAAUGCUUUUAACGGUUCUGUAGUGAAUCCAGUACAUAAGAGCCCUUGCUCCAAGAUGGCUGAUGUUUGGAGACCCCCCCCCAAAAAGAAACAUCUACAGUCUGAUUCAAAUGUUAACAUCUCAAAGUCAUUUUUCUCAUACUUAGGUUUCUGGGAGUUAACAGUGAAAGCUUUGGGGUGGAAGUCAGGGAAGCUCGCAGCCUCUAGUAGGCAACUUCCUGCCUCUGAAAUUUCUAUCUGGCAAACUAUGGGGCUUCAGUGGAGGAAUUGUGUUGGAGGUCUCAUUUGAAUUGCUGUUUUGACAGCUUCUUUUUCUGAUAAUAGUGUAAAAAAAAGGAAAAUAAAAUCUAAUUUGCAUUUCUAUGAUAAAAUGUUCUCCUGGCAACCACCCUCUCCCUUCUUUAAGUGGUUAAGAGUUUGAGAGCCUAGCCAGACCCUCCUUCCCCAGAGCAGCUGACAGCUGUGGGGCUCCAGUUACUGCCAGAAAGGCCAUGUCUCUGCUCCACCCACAGGAGAGAGUUCUGCACAGUGAAAAUAACGUUAUCUACGUCCUUAAGUUCAACCUUGCCUUUUCCCACACCAGGACCUAAGUACAGUACUCAGCAAAUAGAACAAAAUAAAAUCCUCUUUAAAAAAAUAAAUUUUUUUUUUCCAGAAAGAGCUUCAUAGAUUUCCAAACUCACAAACUAGUUGCUAUGGCCAUGGAAGAGUUGAGACUUUGAGAAGUGGUUUUGUUUCAAAUUUGUCAGUUCCCCUUCUAUAAAAGCACUUUUGUGUAGAGUAUUAAAAAUCACUAGUAUCGGGUCUCCUGAGCUCAGGGACUAAGCACUGGAAGGAGGGACUAAAGUCCAAGGCGAGCAGGAGUAAAACAUUUACACCAAAAUAACCCUCCUUACCAUCCAGCCAGCUCCUGUGGCCUCAUCCUGCAUCCCAGCUCCUGUGGCCUCAUCCUGCAUCCCAGCUCCUGUGGCCUCAUCCUGCAUCCCAGCUCCUGUGACCUCAUCCUGCCUCCCUGCAUCCCAGCUCCUGUGGCCUCAUCCUGCAUCCCAGCUCCUGUGGCCUCAUCCUGCAUCCCUGCAUCCCAGCUCCUGUGACCUCAUCCUGCCUCCCUGCAUCCCAGCUCCUGUGGCCUCAUCCUGCAUCCCAGCUCCUGUGGCCUCAUCCUGCCUCCCUGCCUCCCAGCUCCUGUGACACCAUCCUGCUUCCAUGGCAUUUCUCUAAGAAGGAAGAUAAAAAAGAGCAAACUCCCACCCAGCAGCCAGUUUCCCAUAUAGCUCUGCUGCACCCCACCCCACUUCCUAAUGCUGUUCGGUUUAUUGCUUUUAACAAAACAAAUUUAUAGUGAGUUCCAGGCCCUGGUGGCUUCCUUUCCUCCCCCUCCCUAUCCUGUUUUACACAGCACUGCUCAUGUAAGAGUCUGUUUCUCAAAUGCACGGCAUUCCUCAGGUGGAGGAUGGGCAAGAAUGUUCACUUUUUAAAACUUACUGGGUAGAAAAAUCCCAAACCAGGAUAUGUGUGUGUCUGUAUGUUUGUCUUAUUUUCUUCUCAUUUGACCCUCACCAUUCCAGUCUGUCCCCUUUUAUACCUGAUGUAGAAAAGGCAGAACUGAAUCUGGAAAGCAAAUUGUUGUAUAUAGUUGCGGUAACAAUCACGAAGAGAGCUGGGCUGUCCCCUCAGUAAUUCAUUUUAAAUGAAAAAAAAUUGGUUGAAAAUGAAAUCCAUGCCUUGGCCAGCUGAAAUGGCCUUCCUCCAUCGCCACUGAGGCUACCCUUCCCUGGGUCCUCUGCCGACCAGGCAUGUCUCCAUCCAGCAGAUUUCAUCUGUUUGCUGCCAUUUGCGUUUCAAUAAAGUUAUCUCCUGUAUUGUC